CCUACGGGAGGCAGCAGUAGGGAAUCUUUCACAAUGGGCGAAAGCCUGAUGGAGCAACGCCGCGUGCAGGAUGAAGGCCCUCGGGUUGUAAACUGCUUUUAUAAGCGAGAAAUAUGAUGGCAACUUAUGAAUAAGGAUCGGCUAACUACGUGCCAGCAGCAGCGGUCAUACGUAGGAUGCGAGCAUUAUCCGGAGUGACUGGGUGUAAAGAGUUGCGUAGGUGGCAUAAUAAGUAGCUAGUGAAAUCUGGUGGCUCAACCAUUCAGACUAUUGGCUAAACUGUUAAGCACGAGACCGUUAGAGGUAAGUGGAAUGUCUAGUGUAGGAGUGAAAUCCGUAGAUAUUAGAAGGAACACCGAUAGCGUAGGCAGGUUACUGGGACGGUUCUGACACUAAGGCACGAAAGCGUAGGGAGCGAACGGGAUUAGAUACCCGAGUAGUC
rnacentral:rRNA from 1 species